CAAUAGCGUAUAUUAAAGUUGUUGCAGUUAAAAAGCUCGUAGUUGGAUUUCUGGUUGAAGCGACCGGUCGGGCGUUGAUUCGUCUGCACUGGAGUCGGUUUUGGCCAUCCUCUAGGAAAGUGCGUCUGGUAUUAAGUUAUCGGGCGUAUGAUCCUGGUCUUUUACUGUGAAAAAAUUAGAGUGUUUAAAGCAGGCCUUCGCCUUGAAUACAUUAGCAUGGAAUAAUAAGAUAGGACUUUGGUCUAUUUUGUUGGUUUGCAGACCGAAGUAAUGAUUAAUAGGGAUAGUUGGGGGUAUUUAUAUUCCGAUGUCAGAGGUGAAAUUCUUAGAUUUUCGGAAGAUAAACUUAUGCGAAAGCAUUUACUAAGGAUGUUUNCAUUA
rnacentral:rRNA from 1 species